CCAGAAGAGGAUGGCUAAAGCACCUAUGUAUGCCACUCCAGAACCGAGAGAGGAGUGGCCCCUGCUUUGCACCUUCCUGUGCAUCGUUAGUGACAGACUGCACCUCACACAGGCCCCAGGAUAUGGUGGCUGAGACAGUGAACUCAAAUCUGAGGCUGGCAUUGGUGCCUGUGUUAACCUCCUUGGUAGCAGCGUUACCUCACCUCCCGGCUUUGUGGAUUCGCUACUCUAACUCCAAGCCAAUCAUCAUUACAAAUGUCUGCCAGAUCUUUCACUCUUCCUUCUGGGAGGAGAUGCUAGAGAGGAGCAGAAUCCCUUGGGAAACAGAGAUAAAGUCUGCAGCUUCCUGCCCCUCAGGAGAUCAUACGAAGACGAGUGCAAAGCCUUGCUCUGCGUGCUGUAGCUGGAUGAAGACAUCCGUGUGCCUGACAGCCCGAGGACACAGGUCCUGCUAUCAAGGCUGUGUUGUUCAUAGAAAAGACUCAGAGAGGUUAAGUAACUCGCCAGAGGUCAACGCGUCUGGAGAAUGGACCUAGCCCCUGCGAGGUCCGUGAGCAUUGUUCCCCGCGCAUGCUGCAGUUGGGGAGGCAUCAAGAGCAUGAGAUAUACAAGGCCAGUUCAGCUCUGCACUUGAGCUAGUGGACAAAGAUGUCGUUCUUGAGGUGGCAGCGGAGUGGGGCAGCCUCGGGAGGCUUCACAGUGGGGCUCGGGGAGGAACUGGGAGGACACCACAUGCCCAGGCUGCUGGGUAUGGAGAUGGGAAUUUACGCAGGGAGGGGCCAGAGAAGCUGGGCCCAGGGUGAGAGUGUGGCAGUGGUGGGCGGGGAAGGAUGCGGAGAUGGAGUGUUUCUGGUGACAGAGGCCAGAACCUUGCUCCAGACUGUGAGCCAUACUGAAACGCUGUGGGGAGCCAUUAAAAUUUUUUUUGGUUUUUUAUUUUUACUUUUAUUUAUUUAUUUUUGUCUUUUUGAGACAGGGUCUUGCUAUACAGUUCAGCCUGGCUUUGAGCUUACUUUGUAGCGCAGGCCUUGAACUUGCAACGAUCCUCCUGCCUCAGGCUCCCCAGUGCUGGGAUUACAGGCACGCACCAUCAUGCCCAACUUUUGUUCUUUCUUUAGUGUGGAAGCUAGUAGUAUAGGGAUGCCUGGCCAUAAUCCUAGCAUUCUGGAAGGCUGAGGCAGGAGGAUAAGGGAGCUCAAGCCUAGUUUGGGUAACUUUGCAAGUUAGUAAGUCCCUAUCUCAAAAAGAAAAAUACAAGGGAAAAAAACUGCAGUGUAACACACAAUGAAGACACUGGGUUUAAUCCCCAGUACAAAAAAGAAAAAGGAAAGAAAAAGAGAAAGAGAGAGAGACACCCACAGACAGAGACAAAGAGAGGGACAGACACAGAGACAGAGACACAGAGAGAGAGAUAUUAGCUUGGAAGAGAUAGAACAUGAGGCAGCACAAAGUUAGGAACAGGUCAUCAGUGUCUCCACUUGGGUGAGAGGUGGUGUCUGCAGACAGACAGACAGACAGAUGGACGGGAUCUCACAACUCGGCAGGGUGCAGUGGAGAGGUCAUGAGCAGCUCCCCGCACCUGGGGAAGCUGAUGAGAGAGGUGGAUGGCAGUGUCCUGGAGCCUGGGGUGGGGGCUCCUAACUGUGUACAUCAGGGGUGACACAGUUAGCUUAGCUGUCAUCCCCAGGAAGCCUUUUCAGACUCUCCUUGUCCCCCAAAGCACUGGUUCCCUAGUUACAGUUUCCCACUCUGCUUGCAUCUCCACCCUGGCCACCACUGCACUAUGCAGUGACUUGCUAGUGUCCUUUCCCGACACUGUGCCUACGUGCUGCCCAAGUCCCCAGCGCUGCUCACAGUGCC
rnacentral:lncRNA from 1 species